CCUACGGGUGGCAGCAGUGGGGAAUAUUGCACAAUGGGGGAAACCCUGAUGCAGCGACGCCGCGUGAGUGAAGAAGUAUCUCGGUACGUAAAGCUCUAUCAGCAGGGAAGAAAAUGACGGUACCUGACUAAGAAGCCCCGGCUAACUACGUGCCAGCAGCCGCGGUAAUACGUAGGGGGCAAGCGUUAUCCGGAUUUACUGGGUGUAAAGGGAGCGCAGACGGCGGCGCAAGCCUGGAGUGAAAUCCCGGGGCUGAACCCCGGAACUGCUUUGGAAACUGUGCGGCUGGAGUGCAGGAGGGGUAAGCGGAAUUCCUGGUGUAGCGGUGAAAUGCGUAGAUAUCAGGAGGAACACCGGUGGCGAAGGCGGCCUACUGGACUGUAACUGACGUUAAGGCUCGAAAGCGUGGGGAGCAAACAGGAUUAGAUACCCCUGUAGUC
rnacentral:rRNA from 1 species